AACAGGUUUUGAUCCGCAGAUUUCCGAAUGGGGAAACCCAACUGGUUAAUCCAGUUAUUGCAUAUUAGGUUAAUAUGCAAGGCAAACUUGGUGAACUGAAAUAUCUAAGUAACCAAAGGAAAAGAAAUCAACCGAGAUUCUGUGAGUAGUGACGAGCGAAAGCGGAAAAGGCUAGUGGUUUAAGAAUAAGAAUUAGAAUACUCUGGAAAUAGUAACCAUAGAAGGUGAUAGUCCUGUAUAAGUAGAAAGUUUUUAAAUCCUUGAGUAGAGCGGGGCACGUGAAACCCUGUUUGAAUGUGGGGGGACCAUCCUCCAAGCCUAAAUACUCCUUAACGACCGAUAGUGAACAAGUACCGUGAGGGAAAGGUGAAAAGAACCCCGGGAGGGGAGUGAAAUAGAACCUGAAAUCGAGUGCUUACAAACAGUUGGAGCUCUAAUAUCAAUUCAUUGAUGUUUAGAGUGACAGCGUACCUUUUGCAUAAUGGGUCAGCGAGUUAAUCUAUAAAGCAAGCUUAAGCCGUUAGGUGUAGGCGUAGCGAAAGCGAGUCUUAAUAGGGCGUUUUAGUUUUAUGGAUUAGACCCGAAACCAGGUGAUCUAGUCAUGACCAGAUUGAAGGUGUGGUAAAACACAC
rnacentral:rRNA from 2 species